AGUUGGUAUGAAUUACUCUUGAUUCAUCACCACUGUGAGUGCAGCAAGAAAAGCAUCUCCAAUAAGACUUCUGAACGCAGACGGAUAACUGGGCAGCG
rnacentral:lncRNA from 1 species